rnacentral:rRNA from 1 species
UACGUAGGGUGCAAGCGUUGUCCGGAAUUAUUGGGCGUAAAGAGCUCGUAGGCGGUCUGUCGCGUCCGCUGUGAAAACUCAGGGCUUAACCCUGAGCUUGCAGUGGGUACGGGCAGACUAGAGUGCGGUAGGGGAGACUGGAAUUCCUGGUGUAGCGGUGAAAUGCGCAGAUAUCAGGAGGAACACCGGUGGCGAAGGCGGGUCUCUGGGCCGAUACUGACGCUGAGGAGCGAAAGCGUGGGGAGCGAACAGG